ACGUCACAAAAACAAAAACCAAAAUAAAUAUAAAUUUCGUAACGCCCAAUCUUCUUUGCAUAUCUACAUUACUUGAAACCCUAAUCCCCAAUUCCUCUUCCAAUAUUUCAAUCAGUCAUUUAAGAAAAAUCAAGAGACGAAUUUCGAAAAUUCCCGGCGAUUAUCUCAUCCAAACAUUCCAGAAGGUGUUAAGUGGACUUGGUUACCAUGAGAUUCAGAAAAGGAAGUAGAGUUGAGGUAUUUAGCAGCAAAGAGGCGCCUUAUGGUGCGUGGCGAUGCGCUGAGAUAAUCUCAGGUAAUGGACAUACCUACAGUGUUAGAUACUACUCUUUCCACGAGGAUGCAGUGGUGGAGAGAGCUCCAAGGAAGAUGAUUAGGCCGUGUCCUCCGCAAGUGGAUGUAGAGCGAUGGAAGAGUGGUGAACUGGUGGAAGUUCUUGAUGAUUUCUCCUGGAAAGCUGCCACUGUUCGUGAAGAGUUAUCUGGAAAGUACUAUGUGGUUCGGUUGCUUGGGACUCCUGCAGAGUUUACUUUUCACAAGGCAAACGUCAGGGUUCGUCAGUCGUGGCAAGAUGAGAGAUGGCUUGCAAUUGGAAAGAUAUCAGGUUCUGCGAAGUCAUCCACACUCACUGGACCAGACCUACAUCGGAAGCUGCAGCCUCAAAUGAAAGGCAUACUUCUCCGCGAGCCUAGUGUUGUCUCUCCUAGAGUAUUAAAGAGGCUGUUACCUCACAACUGGUCUGAGUGUGCUGAAUCAUACACAGGAAAGACCAAGAAGAUACGAUCACUGGAAGGUUCCUCCAAGAAUCCCCAAACUGGUUGCUGUCAAACGGUCAGGGUAAGAUCAAAAGGUCUUAGUGAGAGCUUAGUCGCUGAUGAUUGUUACGAUAGCGAUGCGUGCUCAGUUGGUAGUUGUAGCGCCACUAGUUAUGAUGGGAGUAACAUGCGACCUUGUAUGCUAGAUGGCUUUAGUCAACAGGCAGAAUCAUGUAGCAGCGAUGCUGAAUCUCAUUGUGGCCUUGGGGAAGAAGAAGCUAGGCGGGAGGAUUCAUUAGCAGGCGAUGGAGCAAGAAGUUCCUGUAGGUCUGAACUAUAUACUUACCGCAGUACUUUGGGGAACUUGUUCGCUUCUGGUCCACUAAGUUGGGAACAAGAAACGUCGUUAACUGAUCUCCGUCUUUCUCUUAAUAUAUCAGAUGAUGAACAUUUGAUGGAGGUAAGAAAUUUGAUAUCUGCUGGUACACGCAGUCAAUUUUGCUAGUAUCAAUCAGCAUUUAUUCUUUUUCUUUUUGUCCUGACAUGUGGAAUCAACUGUCAUAUAGUGUUGUUUUCCAGUGUGUAGACAGCAGAAUAUAAGUAUGUACCGAGACUCUGAUUAGAAUGAAUAUUUACGAGGUUCAUUACGGUGUUCUUUUUUACUGCUCUGUCAGAUUUCAGUUAGCUUCCUCUAUUUUAAUAGAAUAAAGCAAAAUUCAUGUAUACAUACUCUGAGAUAUCAUAUUUUUUAAGGGCUGUUCUAUUGGUGUCGUCUUUUAUUCUGUGAUGUCGAUUUUGUAGAUAAUGAAUUUAUUCUCCUCGUUUGGGGGCAGACUUGUGUGUUGAUAUUCUUGACCUCGUCUUGUUACUUGUGUGGCAAGAUGGGUCAGUCGUCUUGUCCUCGUCAGUAUCAGUAAUAUGUGGAUUUUUCGUUCAGUGCAUAUCCAAACUUGUGUCUGAUCUAUUCAGUGCUUCUACUUGUAGCUCUAUGAAGUGUGUUGCAUAGCGGUGUGAGUUUCCUACUCAUCAUCCCUAGAACAGUAUCGCUUUGUUCGUGGCAUACAGACUUUUUGCUUUUAGAGAUCUAACUUUGAUGCUGGGGUUUACGACUUCUCCCAUGGCCAUCUGAAUGGUGUCCUGGAGUCGGACUUGUCCACAGGACUUUAAAGCUGUGCUUUCGAGCAGGUUUCCUUAAAAUAUAUUUACAGCCUGAUUGGAUAAAUUUGCUGACAACAUGUGAAGAUCGAGUAGUUUCUCUGUACUUUGUAGUUCAUUCGUUACGUCUCACGGUGUCUUCCUUUUGGUAUUGUUUCUGAUCUGCUUGCUUCAGUAGAACUGCAUUAUGUUAAUGCUAUUUAUGUCUUAGUAUUUUUAACGUUCUAAGCAAUUCUGCUAUAUACAGACGUAGCCCACACUGCUGUUAUUUUUACUUUUUCUUUUUUUUUUGUUAUUUCCAAAGGCAUAUUCCUUUGACGCUCAUUCUUCAAUUCUUUGGGGAAUAAGCGUUGUGGCAUGGUGAGACUGAGAGAGAUGUAAGAGUUAAAUGGCAUGAACAGGGUAUUUGUAUCCACAUACGUGAAAAUAGUAAAAUACUAUACUCUGUGCUCUUGAUUCCUUGUUCUGAUGUGUUCUCAGAAUUGCUUUAAGAAUAAGGACUCCACACAUUUUCUGGAUGAACGCAGACAAUGUGUUAGACUUGAUUGAGAUAUCUUCGGACUCUGAAAGGCAAGAAGUGGUAGCAUUCGCUGCUUAGUUAUUCGGAUUUGCAUUGUGGAUUCUCCAAGCAAGCUCACUCUGUUUACAUGGAUUCGUUAAUUCUAUAUGUAUCAAAUGUAUGGAAUCUUUCUUUAAAGAUAUGUUGUGGUUCUCCACGUAAAUCCAAUUUAAAAUGUUGUCUUAACUAGUUGCUUCCUCACUGAAUCAAAACAAAAGGAGAGAGGGAUAUAUUCGUUGGAAGUAAAAUCCUCCGAAAACUUGUAGUAACACGGGUCUCAUCAUAACAUGGGUCUCUAUCAUAUGAAUGAAUGAUUAUCAUGUUGAUAAAUAUUGUUGAAAUCCCACAAGUUUAUUUUCCCAAUUUUAAUGUGCUCGAAAGGCCAAAUUAAAACUCAUAUAAUAUGUAGGGAAAUAUCUUUCACUGUUCAUAACAACGAAGCAAACUGAAAAAAAAAAAUGAAAAUCAUUGAGCAAGGCACAGAGUUGAGUUUCGA